GUGGAGCUUGACUCCAUCUCCUCUAGACCUCAUUUAAGGGCUGACCACCACUAAGGCAGCAUCUCUUGGAGAUUGCUCCUCGGUGGAGAUUGUCUCAGCGGUUCCCAGCAGACCAAAGGCUUCCAUACGGGAGAGGAUGAGUUGAUUGAGCAAGAUGAGAAGGUGACUCUUCUGGAGGAAGUGCUACAGACAGUUCAGUUCUAUUGAGGAAGACGCUUCUUUUACAUGCUACCACUUAGAAUGUCACAGUUCGAGACUCCUUGAAAGAAGAUGACUACUGAAUCCAGGAAAGUUCAGCUUGCCUGUGGAAGGGAGAAGGGAUCUUGAUCUACGUUCCCUAGAUGGAUUUCAAAACUAAGUUAAUCAGUAAAAGUGGAGAAUGCACUAAGGACCAGCACAAACCUUCUGCAUCCUCAACAUGGGCCUUGAGCCAGUCCUCCUAGCACACAAAAAACAGAAGAAAGAUGCUGAAACCAAACCUGGUCGGUUGUAGUUUAUUACAAACUGGUUUUGUUCCUCACAGGAGUUGCUUACCACCACUUAGUUCCUGAGAGUUGCUUCUCACUUACGGCCAUGUAGAUUGUCUUUCAGAUCUGUAAUUAUCUGCUUCCUCAGAUAAAAGCACUAGACCAGAAAUUUUACGUUACUGCGCGUUUACCACUGUUUUGAGACUCUCAAAAUAGAGAAGGUGGUAUUUUUUAUUUGAACAAAGUGUACUUCGAGACUUAAGUUGUGUUAUAAUAGCACAUCUACCUGCUACCAUUAUUUUAAUAAAAUGAGAGCUGCUCUG